rnacentral:piRNA from 1 species
UGGGUUGAACUUGAAUCCAGCUGCGGGUUC